rnacentral:lncRNA from 1 species
GCAUCCACAGCAGCCUGGCGAAAUCCCUCCACUGAUGCAAACCAUUGCUCAGUUGCCCUAAAAAUAGUUGGUUUCUUCGUUCGCCAAUCAUAUGGAUAUUUAUGUUCUGUAAGAAGAGAUGACAUGUUGAAACCAAGUAAUGAUGGGAAACCCUGAUAGGGAUUAGAAUCAUCAUAUUUUCUCCAUUUGGCAGGGGUGGCGGGGAGGGGAGGUGUGAAUGACUUACCAUACGAUUCUUCCAAAAUAAGUGAGAAGUGAUCGUCCAAAUAUUUGACAACAGCAGUAUUGCCAUCCCCAAGAACAUCAAGCCCGCUGAAUUGACCAGCUUCUUCAGUGAACUUCCCAUCAUCAUCUACAGGAGAUAUUAUGGGGAGUCCAUACUUCAAACCAGUCGCAUAAUCCUCCUGACCAUGGCCAGGUGCCGUAUGGACUAACCCAGUUCCUGUCUCAGUUGUAAUGUAAUCUCCUCCAAUAACAACUUGGCACUCCUUCUUAUCAAUUGGGUGGAUGUAGCUGAAGAAAACAAUUGGUUUAAUGCUUAGUUCACGGAUUCACAUCAAGUGACUUAGGUAAAUUACUAAGAGAUAGGCUUUGUAAAACAAUAUACUAAAAUUUACCACAUUUCUAGAUUUCUUCUAACCGAAUAUGAAACCUACAAGUUUUUUUAGGAAGAAAAAUCACUUGACAAGGAAGCUCUCAUUUUCACUGUUCCUUCUCAUUGUUUAGGGAAAGAAAUAAAACCUGCAGUUUUCAAGUUCUGAACCCAACAAUUUCUUCUUGACAACAAGCUUCACACCCCAUUUUGCUUCCAAAGUUGGCACAAGAUCUGAUGCUACUACAA